rnacentral:lncRNA from 1 species
CAAACAUCCAGAGAAUUGCAAAUUGGAUUUCUUUAAUUUGUUCUGAGAUAGUUACUUUUAUUUACUCUCUUGAUUUGUACUAAUAGAAAGACCAGUAAUUGGUAAAUAUAAUCAAACUCAAAAAUUUUAUUAAGCCAAAAGUUUUUUUUAAAGCAAAUAUAAAGUACAUAAUGUGGAAAUCAUUUAAAAAGUCUACCCCAUGUUUGGGCAGCCUAGGCACAAAAACUCUGGGAUCUUCAGCUAUCCAGACUCCAGCAUCUCCAUUUAUCAGUGGGGUUUGUUUCUUGUACAUAAAAAUUGGUGUAAUGGUUAAAAAUACAUAGAGUUUGUAAAUACAGUUCCUGGGAGUGUCUUCCAAAUCAGUGGGAGUUACUGUUAUUAAUAAAACACAUCAAUAUCAUCCAAUAUUUUUAUAAUUCAAUGAUAUUCAUUUAUCACAAGACAGUUUCAUGAGAAUCAGUAAUUGCACAUCUAUGGAUCAGGGGACCCCAACAGUAUCUCUUCUUUCACUAAUGCCUCUCUUCUUUGGGUCUAAACUGGAAGAGUUAGAAGCUACCUCUGGCAAGUGAGGGAAAGAGGAGUUAAAGAACAAAUGGAGGAAAGAGAAUAGUUGUAUAUAUGCCGGGGUUGAAGGGAUAAAAUAAUUGAAGAAAAUCCAAAUGAUGAUUACACUAGACUGUAACUAAUUAAAAAGUUUACUUAAGAUUGAUGACUAAAAGUACACAAAAUACUUUGAUUAUAGGAGUAUCAACAGAGUUGCUAGAGGACUUUUACAAAUGGAGAUAUCCUGACCAGAUUCUCCUUCAAGAAAGCAUUCAAUGUCCAUCUGUGAGGAGUGUGGGUUAGUUGGCAGCCUCCAGCUGUCGGCUUCAUCUGGGUCUGCUUCAGCUUUUAAGCCAAAGGCACAGUCUUCUCAGAGUGGCCCACAGCCCAGGAUUGAGCAAGACUGGUAUGACGGACUGGCCACUUCCCCACAACAUGGGACUUGUCUAAUGUGCAUUCUGGCUGGGCUGGCAGAGACACUGUCUGGUCUACGUGGCUGUCUAAUGGCUUCCCUGGCCCAACUAAUUGGGCUUCCUCACCCUUCUCCUUUCACAGGUGUUAAUGGUGUUAAAUCUCACAUGAAUCUUCUGAGAUUCAUCUUGGGAAACUCCAACAAACUUCAGGAGUGUAGGUUUAUCCCAAAGCAUACACCUCUCUCUCAUUCGUAUUCAGCUUUGAUUUCCCAGGCGUAUGUCUAACCUGGGUACUCAUUUUAUGCCCUCAGAGUGGUCUACUGAAAUCUCCUCUCUCUUAACCUGAAGUGAGGCGGGUAGAACUCCUGGGAAGGUGAGAUGGGGGAGGCAUAGCAGAGUUCUCUCCAAUAAAUCUCCUUGAAGACUCUCUCACUAGGCUUAGGAUAGGUGAUAGCAACAUGCACCAUUUUCAUUUUGGAAAUGGGUGGUAUUGAGUCACAGUGGGAUUCUUCUGAGGAAAGCCUAGGCAAAAUCUACCUUUAUAAUGUGUCUCUGCCAAAGCUUCCAUUUAAACACCUUAUUAUCCAAACAGGCACAAUCUAACAAAAUAUUUUUACAUUAGUAGAAAUGAUAAUACAUAUAAUCUAAGUGCUAUGAACACUAUCUUCCAAACAACUAAUUUAUGAGGGAAAUAUUCCCUUAUUGUUCAAGGAUAUCUCACAUCUAUAAUAUGUGACGGGAAAUGAUUUGCAAACAUAAAGGCUGCCAUAACAGAACAUAACUACAGGAAAUAGAACAUAUUAUAUAGACAUGCAACAGAUACAUUCCAAACCCAUACAUAUGCAUUUAUGUAGUUGGUAUUUACUGACAAUAAGCAAUAGAGGAAUAGGGAGGAACCAUAAAUGAAAUACAAGUUGUGAUUUUACUUUGAUUUACUGAAUUCAUCAUCGAAUGCCUACAUUCUCUGAUUUAUCAAAUUGCAUAUUUAUCAAGUUACAUCUAAGUUGAAGAUAAUUUCUUCUCCUGAGUUUCUAGCCUGCCUCUGUGAAAUAUCAAAAUGUUUGGCUUGGGCAUAUUUCUGCUAGAACAAGUUAAUUUCAACAGAAAUUAUUUAUUUUUAAAACUGAAAAUAGAUUUUUACAUAUUUACCCAAAUGUCAAUUUGUAACACUAUCUUGCAUAAUUUCUGAGGGAAGAUACUAUGUCCAUUAGAUUCAAUUUUGUGCCUUUGCAUCUUAAACAACACAGUUACAAUGUUGAAUGAACAACUUUAUUCAAACCUUGCAUGGCUUACAAAUAUUACAUGGAACAAUGUACAUUGUAUUCACAGUUUAUGCAAGAUAUAUAUCCCCUGCACAUAUCAACCAAUUCAAAACUUGUAUAAUUCACUGGGAUCUUGAUUACCAAUGACAGUUUUAUUGGUGUACUAGCCAAAGCAAUGUUGCCACAUGGAAUACUGUAAACAAGGUAAACAAAUACCCACCCAUCUUGGAAAUUUCCCAAUUCUUUAACAGUAGAAAGUUAAUCUGGGGGAUGUUCUAGUAAAUAUUUUGUGCACACAGUGAGAUAAUAAUGUUGUAUAUCACACUAUUUCAAAGUUAGAUAAUUCAUAUAUGCAUAAAAUCCAUUAAAGUAUGAGAUAACAGCAAAUAAAUAAGUAUAUCUUGGAUGAAUAAAGACAAUUAGAGUCUAAUAAUAUAACUCCUUGGACAGAUCUUCAGCCCUCUCAUGUGUUAGCAAAAAUAUAGAGAAAUUAAUGGCUCAUCAGGAUACACAUCCAGAGAAGCAGAAUCCCAGUCUUCAUCUUUUUUUAACUGUUUAUCUUAGAAAUUCCAUUUUGUUUUAUUUAUUUACUUAUUUAUUUAUUUUUCAUACCACUCGGAAUGAGCCAAUCUCAUUUGGUCUUCUUUAUAUGACACCAUCUGCUUCUUAUACUCCAUAAGUAAUAGGUUUAAUUCUUCUAGGAUAAGCCCACUAUACUCUAGCUAUUAAAAUUAAAAAAAGUAAAAACUAUCCCUGAUUUGUAGGGACAUACAAUGAGGCAAAAACUUUCAUUCAUUAUUCUUACAACAAAAUGUAUUAUAACAAGCCUUAAUUACCAUUCUUUAGACCAUCCUCAAAUCUUCAAUGGAAAGUUCAGAUCAAGGGACUAGGUUCAUAAACACUCUAAGAACCUAGCUCCGGGGAAUAACACUAAAGCCCCCAAAGCUCUUAAAACUGUCCUGACUUAGUAGAGUCCACCUGGAAGGCUCUGUGGGAUUAGGUCUCAGAUAAUAGUUUUACUAGUAUUCCAAAAAUGGAUAUUGGAAUUAAACACAUUAAAUUACUAUUUACAUAUCAACUUUUCAAAAACAGUAUUUAAAAACCUCUAUUGAAUUAACAAGUUAUUUUCAGAAACCAAAAUAAUAAUGACUAAAGAAUAACAUUAAAAUUUCCCUAUUUUUGAAUAAUGUUCUAAGCACCAGUAUUAUAUCAGAGUUGUGGCACAUGCUCCUUUUGGAAAAUUAACCUCAAAAUACAGUUUUAACAAUAAAAGUAAGUUUACUUGACUUCCUGAUAAACAAUUUUUUUAGCAUAUACAGUUUUUUAAAUUCAGGAUUUUGUGUAUCAUCUCUGACAUAGGAUAAAGGAAAUGUAAAAUGCUGCCUCCAUUACUGGAAGCAAUUUUAAAAGUCAUUAAAACUCUAAAUCUGUGCAAAACUGGCAAAACAUCAUAUAACCAGAAAACUAUGACACUUAAAACUUUCUUUUUCAGUUCAUUAGAACAAAACAUUGAGAUGACAAAGAUAUUUUAGGUGAGAUAAUUCAAAUUGUGGUUAAAUAUAGACAAAAUAAUAAAAAACAGCAUACCAUCAAC